UUUCCUUCUAGCUAGGGUUUCUCCAUCUGUCAGUUUUUUCUGCAGCCUCCAGUGGACAACCGAUACAUAUACCUCGUCCAUCAUCCACCCCUUCACUUUCACCGGUGAAAAUGUCCACCAAAUCUCGAAGAGCAUCCAACUCAAACGUAACCGACUUCGAGGACUUCUUCCAGGGCUGGCUCGUCCGCCAGGAGCAGCUUCGCUCCACUCUACGAACAGUUGGUACUCACACCGAUGAAGACUUGAGAGAUCUCAUCGCUCAUGUUCUGGCGCAUUACCAGCAGUACUACGAGGAGAAAUCGCGGAUCGCCAACCAUGACGUGUCGCUAGUGUUCUCGCCGCCCUGGUUUUCAUGUUUCGAGCAGAGUUUUUUCUGGAUUGCUGGGUUUAAGCCAGGGUUGGCGUUUCGGAUAGUUUCGGCUUCGGUUUCGGAUAUGAGUGAGGAACAAGUGGAGCGGAUGGACCGGCUGAGGGCGGAGACGAAGGAGGAGGAGCGGCGGUUGGAGAAUGAGAUGGCGAGGAUUCAGGAGAGCGUGGCGGCUCCGCCGAUUGUGGAGAUAACGAGGAGAGGGGAUAAUCCGUUAGUGGAUGGGGCGUAUGAUGAAAUGGAAGCGGCGGUGGAGGCGCUGAGAGGGGAAAUGGAGGUGGUGGUAGGGCAUGCGGAUAUGUUGAGGACUAGGACGGCGGAGAGAGUGGUGGAGAUAUUGUCGCCCCAGCAGAACAUAAAGUUUUUUGCGGCGGUGACCGAGUUGCAGCUCAAGAUAAGGGUUUGGGGAUGGCAGAUUGAAGGAGAAAGUCGACGAUGUCCAGAUGUGUGCACCAUAGUACUCGGGGUCCAUGUAAACGGGUGAGGAUGGGUCUAUAGUGAAUGGACCAGGCUGUGGAGGAAGCCCGUCUACCGUUGAAGACGGUGACGGGCCUGAGGGGGUGGGGAGGUGUGCGGCGCAGGAAGACGAUAGGCAGGGGACGACCCCCAUACCGUCAAGACUUAUCUGGACCAUAACACGAUGACUCCAUAUGAUGCCACCUGGAACCUUGGGACGGGGCGCCUCGUUACACGUUAUAAGCGUGGAACAACGUCACCGCCAAUGAUGAUCAUGCGUGGAUCCUAAUACGCGUUGGACGUUUCACGCGUUGAAAACUUGAUGCAAUUCAUUUUUUUAAUGACUUUGAUAGUGUGUAGUGAGUGAUGGACAUUAGGGCCGGAUCUAUAGUAUAAUUAACCUAGUCUUGGGCUUAGGGCCUCCACUUAAAA